UACGAAGGGGGCUAGCGUUGCUCGGAAUCACUGGGCGUAAAGCGCACGUAGGCGGCUUUUUAAGUCAGGGGUGAAAUCCUGGAGCUCAACUCCAGAACUGCCUUUGAUACUGGGAAGCUUGAGUCCGGAAGAGGUGAGUGGAACUCCGAGUGUAGAGGUGAAAUUCGUAGAUAUUAGGAAGAACACCAGUGGCGAAGGCGGCUCACUGGCCCGGUACUGACGCUCAUGUGCGAAAGCGUGGGGAGCAAACAGG
rnacentral:rRNA from 1 species